AUACGUAUGUCGCAAGCGUUAUCCGGAAUUAUUGGGCGUAAAGCGAGUCUAGGCGGCUUGUUAAGUCAGAUGUGAAAAUGCGGGGCUCAACUCCGUAUUGCGUUUGAAACUGGCAGGCUAGAGUACUGGAGAGGUGGGCGGAACUACAAGUGUAGAGGUGAAAUUCGUAGAUAUUUGUAGGAAUGCCGAUAGUGAAGACAGCUCACUGGACAGAUAUUGACGCUGAGGAACGAAAGCGUGGGGAGCGAACAGGAUUAGAUACCCCAGUAGUCC
rnacentral:rRNA from 1 species